rnacentral:rRNA from 1 species
UGGGGAAUAUUGGACAAUGGGCGCAAGCCUGAAUCCAGCAAUGCCGCGUGUGUGAAGAAGGCCUUCGGGUUGUAAAGCACUUUUAUCAGGAGCGAAACGCUGUCGGCUAAUACCCGGCGGAACUGACGGUACCUGAGGAAUAAGCACCGGCUAACUUCGUGCCAGCAGCCGCGGUAAUACGAAGGGUGCAAGCGUUAAUCGGAAUUACUGGGCGUAAAGCGUGCGUAGGCGGUUUCUUAAGUCUGCUGUGAAAUCCCCGGGCUCAACCUGGGAAUGCAGUGGAUACUGGGAGGCUAGAGUGUGUCAGAGGGUGGUGGAAUUCCCGGUGUAGCGGUGAAAUGCGUAGAGAUCGGGAGGAACAUCAGUGGCGAAGGCGGCCACCUGGGACAACACUGACGCUGAGGCACGAAAGCGUGGGGAGCAAACAGGAUUAGGAUACCCUGGUAGUCCACGCCCUAAACGAUGCGAACUGGAUGUUGGUCUCAACUCGGAGAUCAGUGUCGAAGCUAACGCGUUAAGUUCGCCGCCUGGGGAGUACGGUCGCAAGACUGAAACUCAAAUGAAUUGACGGGGUCAUAGCUGUUUCCUG